CAAUCUCAUAUGCUCUUUCAUAGCUCUUUUCACUAUCUGCAGAAAUGCUUCAAUUUCUGUUGUAACCCUUAUCAUCAAUUUUUCAUUCUUGGUCUUUGCUCCGCAUAGGAUAUUGUUGCUAAAAAUUCCUGGAGUAUUAUUGAAAAUUUGAUUAAUUUUUCUGUUUAUCUAUGUCUAUGGACGCCUAGAUGGAAAAGAGGUUAAGCAAAGUCGAAGGCCGGGAGCACAUUUCUCUCGAUCUCAAAGCCGAUCUUCAUCCUCUCAAGGUACAUCUAGCUACCAGUCCGGCGCGCGUUCCUGAUACUUGACUGAGAUUCCACGGUGAGCUGCCCUUCUGAGCCGUUCAGCAGCAUACUGGAGUUUCUCUUCCUUUUGUUAUUAUAUGUACUGUCUAUUUUGGUUCAGGCAGUAGGAUAGAUAUGUUCUUUUGUAUAUUCUACUAGAUGCCCAUAUACUUGUGACACCAGGUCUUGGCAUACACACUGGUGGACUAUUCUUUUGGAAUGUGAUCACUUAAUUAUGACAUCAUUUGGUCACUUCAGUUUCAAAAUUGCCUAAACUAUUCAUUAUUA